rnacentral:siRNA from 1 species
CUUUGAUUUGUAGUAGUCGGA